CUCAAAAAAAAAAAAGCAAAAAAAACUCUCUUUCUUUCCUAAAUUUCCUUUCAUUUCUCUUUAUUUCCCAUGAUUCUUUUUCCUUUCUUCUUCCCUUUCCCGUGAAAUUUCCAAAUACGAAGCCGUAGCUCACACCGCUGCACGUCGACGACUCCAGCUCCUUCCACCGCCGCAGCUUCCAUCAAUCCACGCUGUCGGUAACCUGCUCUUCCUCCUCCUCUUUUCUUUGACUCUCUUCGAAGCCAACGACAACUAGAACUCAGCGUCCCGCUGCUGACAAUCGGAUUCAUCAUAUACGAUGGGCCAACUGCAGCCAAGUCGACCAUUAAGGCCAUUGAAUUUGACGGUGUGGAGUUUCACAGAAGGGUUUUGACUGUGAAAUUGGAUGAUGGGAGGAGGUUAAAGGAGAAGACGGAUGAGAGGGCGAGAUGGAUGGAGGGAGAUGACAGCGUGGAGUAUCGUUCCCAUUGGCAUGAAGAGAGGAUAAAGCACGAAAUGGCUUUGGCAAGGUUAUUGAGACAGAUCCAGAGAACUGGCAGGCGGUUGUAUCGGCUUUCGAGAGGAUCAAGAAGCAAUUUCAACACUCGACAAUUCGCCUCACAGAAUGCCCUCGGACUUCCUGCUGCCGCCGUCUACUUCAAUUCCUAGAAGCAACCUGCAUCCAAGAAAGGCUGAUAUAUAUAACAUAUCCAUAUUCCGUACCACACUUUGUAUGUUAAUACCAUACCCUCAACUUUUUUUCUACUUAGCAAAUUUAGGCCUUCCCCUGCUGUUUCCCCCAUAAACACACAUGGAAUAAAUAAAUCUUUAUUUCCCCC